GUUUUAAUUGGCAGCACAUAUACUGAAAUUGGAACGAUACAGAGAAGAUUAGCAUGGCCCCUGGGCAAGGAUGACACGCAAAUUCACAAUGGUCUGAUAAAAUGA